AGCUCCAAUAGCGUAUAUUAAAGUUGUUGCAGUUAAAAAGCUCGUAGUUGAACUUCAGACCGGGUCGAGUGGUCCGCUUAACAGUGUGUACUGCUUGACUUGGCCUUACCUCUUGGUGAACCAGCGUGCCCUUUAUUGGUGUGCGUUGGGGAACCAGGACUUUUACCUUGAGAAAAUUAGAGUGUUCAAAGCAGGCCUAUGCCCGAAUACAUUAGCAUGGAAUAAUAAAAUAGGACGUGCGGUUCUAUUUUGUUGGUUUCUAGAGUCGCCGUAAUGAUUAAUAGGGAUAGUUGGGGGCAUUGGUAUUGAGUCGCUAGAGGUGAAAUUCUUGGAUUGACUCAAGACCGACUAUUGCGAAAGCAUUUGCCAAGGAUGUUUUCA
rnacentral:rRNA from 1 species